GAUGAACGCUGGCGGCGUGCCUAAUACAUGCAAGUCGAGCGAAUGGAUUAAGAGCUUGCUCUUAUGAAGUUAGCGGCGGACGGGUGAGUAACACGUGGGUAACCUGCCCAUAAGACUGGGAUAACUCCGGGAAACCGGGGCUAAUACCGGAUAACAUUUUGAACCGCAUGGUUCGAAAUUGAAAGGCGGCUUCGGCUGUCACUUAUGGAUGGACCCGCGUCGCAUUAGCUAGUUGGUGAGGUAACGGCUCACCAAGGCAACGAUUCGUAGCCGACCUGGGAGGGUGAUCGGCCACACUGGGACUGAGACACGGCCCAGACUCCUACGGGAGGCAGCAGUAGGGAAUCUUCCGCAAUGGACGAAAGUCUGACGGAGCAACGCCGCGUGAGUGAUGAAGGCUUUCGGGUCGUAAAACUCUGUUGUUAGGGAAGAACAAGUGCUAGUUGAAUAAGCUGGCACCUUGGCGGUACCUAACCAGAAAGCCACGGCUAACUACGUGCCAGCCGCCGCCGUAA
rnacentral:rRNA from 1 species